UGGCCUACUGGUGAGUGUCAUGAAUGGU
rnacentral:piRNA from 1 species